GGGUUGUGAGGUUAAGCGACUAAGCGUACACGGUGGAUGCCCUGGCAGUCAGAGGCGAUGAAGGACGUGCUAAUCUGCGAUAAGCGUCGGUGAGGUGAUAUGAACCGUUAUAACCGGCGAUUUCCGAAUGGGGAAACCCAGUGUGUUUCGACACACUAUCAUUAACUGAAUCCAUAGGUUAAUGAGGCGAACCGGGGGAACUGAAACAUCUAAGUACCCCGAGGAAAAGAAAUCAACCGAGAUUCCCCCAGUAGCGGCGAGCGAACGGGGAGGAGCCCAGAGCCUGAAUCAGUGUGUGUGUUAGUGGAAGCGUCUGGAAAGGCGUGCGAUACAGGGUGACAGCCCCGUACACAAAAAUGCACAUAUUGUGAGCUCGAUGAGUAGGGCGGGACACGUGGUAUCCUGUCUGAAUAUGGGGGGACCAUCCUCCAAGGCUAAAUACUCCUGACUGACCGAUAGUGAACCAGUACCGUGAGGGAAAGGCGAAAAGAACCCCGGCGAGGGGAGUGAAAAAGAACCUGAAACCGUGUACGUACAAGCAGUGGGAGCCUCUUAAUGGGGUGACUGCGUACCUUUUGUAUAAUGGGUCAGCGACUUAUAUUCUGUAGCAAGGUUAACCGAAUAGGGGAGCCGAAGGGAAACCGAGUCUUAACUGGGCGUUAAGUUGCAGGGUAUAGACCCGAAACCCGGUGAUCUAGCCAUGGGCAGGUUGAAGGUUGGGUAACACUAACUGGAGGACCGAACCGACUAAUGUUGAAAAAUUAGCGGAUGACUUGUGGCUGGGGGUGAAAGGCCAAUCAAACCGGGAGAUAGCUGGUUCUCCCCGAAAGCUAUUUAGGUAGCGCCUCGUGAAUUCAUCUCCGGGGGUAGAGCACUGUUUCGGCAAGGGGGUCAUCCCGACUUACCAACCCGAUGCAAACUGCGAAUACCGGAGAAUGUUAUCACGGGAGACACACGGCGGGUGCUAACGUCCGUCGUGAAGAGGGAAACAACCCAGACCGCCAGCUAAGGUCCCAAAGUCAUGGUUAAGUGGGAAACGAUGUGGGAAGGCCCAGACAGCCAGGAUGUUGGCUUAGAAGCAGCCAUCAUUUAAAGAAAGCGUAAUAGCUCACUGGUCGAGUCGGCCUGCGCGGAAGAUGUAACGGGGCUAAACCAUGCACCGAAGCUGCGGCAGCGACACUAUGUGUUGUUGGGUAGGGGAGCGUUCUGUAAGCCUGUGAAGGUGGCCUGUGAGGGUUGCUGGAGGUAUCAGAAGUGCGAAUGCUGACAUAAGUAACGAUAAAGCGGGUGAAAAGCCCGCUCGCCGGAAGACCAAGGGUUCCUGUCCAACGUUAAUCGGGGCAGGGUGAGUCGACCCCUAAGGCGAGGCCGAAAGGCGUAGUCGAUGGGAAACAGGUUAAUAUUCCUGUACUUGGUGUUACUGCGAAGGGGGGACGGAGAAGGCUAUGUUGGCCGGGCGACGGUUGUCCCGGUUUAAGCGUGUAGGCUGGUUUUCCAGGCAAAUCCGGAAAACCAAGGCUGAGGCGUGAUGACGAGGCACUACGGUGCUGAAGCGACAAAUGCCCUGCUUCCAGGAAAAGCCUCUAAGCAUCAGGUAACAUCAAAUCGUACCCCAAACCGACACAGGUGGUCAGGUAGAGAAUACCAAGGCGCUUGAGAGAACUCGGGUGAAGGAACUAGGCAAAAUGGUGCCGUAACUUCGGGAGAAGGCACGCUGAUAUGUAGGUGAAGCGACUUGCUCGUGGAGCUGAAAUCAGUCGAAGAUACCAGCUGGCUGCAACUGUUUAUUAAAAACACAGCACUGUGCAAACACGAAAGUGGACGUAUACGGUGUGACGCCUGCCCGGUGCCGGAAGGUUAAUUGAUGGGGUUAGCGGUAACGCGAAGCUCUUGAUCGAAGCCCCGGUAAACGGCGGCCGUAACUAUAACGGUCCUAAGGUAGCGAAAUUCCUUGUCGGGUAAGUUCCGACCUGCACGAAUGGCGUAAUGAUGGCCAGGCUGUCUCCACCCGAGACUCAGUGAAAUUGAACUC
rnacentral:rRNA from 1 species